GAUGAAGAACGUAGCGAAAUGCGAUAAGUAGUGUGAAUUGCAGAAUUCAGUGAAUCAUCGAAUCUUUGAACGCACAUUGCGCCCUUUGGUAUUCCGUAGGGCAUGCCUGUUCGAGCGUCAUUUAAACCUUCAAGCUAAGCUUGGUGUUGGGUGACUGUCCGCCUCACGGCGGACUCGCCUCAAAAUUAUUGGCGGCCGGUACAUUGGCUUCGAGCGCAGCAGAAACGCGAACUCGGGCCCGUCGUAUUGGCUCCCAGAAGCUAUCUUCACAAUUUUGACCUCGGAUCAGGUAGGGAUACCCGCUGAACUUAAGCAUAUCAAUAAGCGGAGGA
rnacentral:misc_RNA from 1 species